AGUGAACGCUGGCGGUAGGCCUAACACAUGCAAGUCGAACGGCAGCACAGUAAGAGCUUGCUCUUACGGGUGGCGAGUGGCGGACGGGUGAGGAAUACAUCGGAAUCUACUUUUUCGUGGGGGAUAACGUAGGGAAACUUACGCUAAUACCGCAUACGACCUACGGGUGAAAGCAGGGGAUCUUCGGACCUUGCGCGAUUGAAUGAGCCGAUGUCGGAUUAGCUAGUUGGCGGGGUAAAGGCCCACCAAGGCGACGAUCCGCUGCUGGUCUGAGAGGAUGGUCGGCGACACUGGAACUGAGACACGGUCCAGACUCCUACGGGAGGCAGCAGUGGGGAAUAUUGGACAAUGGGCGCAAGCCUGAUCCAGCCAUACCGCGUGGGUGAAGAAGGCCUUCGGGUUGUAAAGCCCUUUUGUUGGGAAAGAAAAGCAGCAGGUUAAUACCCCGCUGUCCUGACGGUACCCAAAGAAUAAGCACCGGCUAACUUCGUG
rnacentral:rRNA from 1 species